GUGCUGUGGUUAAUACCCAAUCCUGACACAGGGAGGUAGUGACAAGAAAUAACAAUACAGGGCUUUCGUCUUGUAAUUGGAAUGAUGGCGACUUAAACCCUCGCCAGAGUAACAAUUGGAGGGCAAGUCUGGUGCCAGCAGCCGCGGUAAUUCCAGCUCCAAUAGCGUAUAUUAAACUUGUUGCAGUUAAAAAGCUCGUAGUUGAAUUUCUGCGUUGCGUUUUUCUUGCUUUUUGCUUGACUUUCGCUUCGCUUUUUGGUUUUACUUUGAGAAAAUUAGAGUGUUUAUCGCAGACUUUUGUCUUGAAUACUUCAGCAUGGAAUAAUAGAGUAGGACCUUGGUUCUAUUUUGUUGGUUUUUGAGCCUUGGUAAUGGUUAAUAGGAACGGUUGGGGGCAUUCGUAUUUAAAGAU
rnacentral:rRNA from 1 species